GACGUAGGGCACAAGCGUUAUCCGGAAUGAUUGGGCGUAAAGCGUCCGCAGGUGGCUGUGUAAGUCUGCUGUUAAAGAGUCAUGCUCAACAUGAUAAGAGCAGUGGAAACUACACGGCUAGAGUGCGUUCGGGGCAGAGGGAAUUCCUGGUGUAGCGGUGAAAUGCGUAGAGAUCAGGAAGAACACCGGUGGCGAAAGCGCUCUGCUAGGCCGCAACUGACACUGAGGGACGAAAGCUAGGGGAGCGAAUGGG
rnacentral:rRNA from 1 species